rnacentral:tRNA from 1 species
GGCUUCGUGGCCCAAUGGCAAGGCGUCUGACUACGACGGUCCAAGACUGCAACUUGGAUUCAAAACUGCAAUCAGGAGAUUCUGGGUUCGAUCCCCAGCGAAGUCA